CACGUAGGGGGCGAGCGUUGUCCGGAUUUAUUGGGCGUAAAGAGCUCGUAGGCGGCUCGGUAAGUCGGGUGUGAAACCUCCAGGCUCAACCUGGAGACGCCACCUGAUACUGCUGUGGCUAGAGUCCGGUAGGGGAGUGUGGAACUCCUGGUGUAGCGGUGAAAUGCGCAGAUAUCAGGAAGAACACCCGUGGCGAAGGCGGCUCUCUGGGACGGUACUGACGCUGAGACGCGAAAGCGUGGGGAGCGAACAGG
rnacentral:rRNA from 1 species